rnacentral:rRNA from 1 species
GUGGGGAAUAUUGGACAAUGGGCGAAAGCCUGAUCCAGCCAUGCCGCGUGUGUGAAGAAGGUCUUCGGAUUGUAAAGCACUUUAAGUUGGGAGGAAGGGCAGUAAGUUAAUACCUUGCUGUUUUGACGUUACCGACAGAAUAAGCACCGGCUAACUUCGUGCCAGCAGCCGCGGUAAUACGAAGGGUGCAAGCGUUAAUCGGAAUUACUGGGCGUAAAGCGCGCGUAGGUGGUUUUGUAAGUUGGAGGUGAAAUCCCCGGGCUCAACCUGGGAACUGCCUCCAAAACUGCAUGACUAGAGUACGGUAGAGGGUAGUGGAAUUUCCUGUGUAGCGGUGAAAUGCGUAGAUAUAGGAAGGAACACCAGUGGCGAAGGCGACCACCUGGACUGAUACUGACACUGAGGUGCGAAAGCGUGGGGAGCAAACAGGAUUAGAAACCCUGGUAGUCC